GCCUAUAUUUUUCGCUUGGCCCAUGUCCGGUUUCGCCCACGCGGAAAAUGCUGAAAGUCGAGGCUCCUGGCCCUCUGGGAUUGAUCCACUGGAGCCGCCCCGUGCCCAUCCAAAUCUCAUGCUGGGUGAGCUCCAGGUACACCAAGGCGACGAUCCUUAGCUGGUCUGAGAGGAUGAUCAGCCACACUGGGACUGAGACACGGCCCAGACUCCUACGGGAGGCAGCAGUAGGGAAUAUUGGACAAUGGGGGCAACCCUGAUCCAGCAAUGCCGCGUGAGUGAUGAAGGCCUUAGGGUUGUAAAGCUCUUUUACCCGGGAUGAUAAUGACAGUACCGGGAGAAUAAGCCCCGGCUAACUCCGUGCCAGCAGCCGCGGUAAUACGGAGGGGGCUAGCGUUGUUCGGAAUUACUGGGCGUAAAGCGCACGUAGGCGGCGAUUUAAGUCAGAGGUGAAAGCCCGGGGCUCAACCCCGGAAUAGCCUUUGAGACUGGAUUGCUUGAACAUCGGAGAGGUGAGUGGAAUUCCGAGUGUAGAGGUGAAAUUCGUAGA
rnacentral:rRNA from 1 species